CAGUAGCCACGGUAAAACGAGGGGUGCAAGCGUUAUUCGGAUUGAUUGGGUGUAAAGGGUGCGCAGACGGCUUAUUAAGUCACUUGUUAAAUUCUUCGGCCUAACUGAAGGUCUGCAAGUGAUACUGAUGAGCUAGAGGGUGGAAGAGAGAAGUGGAAUUCUCGGAGUAGCGGUAAAAUGCGUAGAUCUCGAGAGGAACACCAAUGGCGAAGGCAGCUUCUUGGUCCAUUCCUGACGUUCAUACACGAAAGCGUGGGAAGCAAACAGGAUUAGAUACCCCGGUAGUCCCUGUCUCUUAUAC
rnacentral:rRNA from 1 species